UACGUAGGAAGCAAGCGUUGUCCGGAAUCACUGGGCGUAAAGCGCGUGUAGGCGGUAUGGCAAGUCUGCUGUGAAAGCCCCGGGCUCAACCUGGGAGGUGCGCUUGAUACUCGAGGGCUUGAGUGCGGGAGAGGAGAGUGGAAUUCCCAGUGUAGAGGUGAAAUUCGUAGAUAUUGGGAAGAACACCGGUGGCGAAGGCGGCUCUCUGGACCGUAACUGACGCUGAGGCGCGAAAGCGUGGGGAGCAAACAGG
rnacentral:rRNA from 1 species